CCAGUGUGGAUACCCUGAGAGGUCACUCUUCCCCGGGUCUGUCCUAGUGGUGUUGGGCAGCAUAGGGUCUUGGCCGUGCCCCGUGCUGUACAGCCCCUUUCAAAAAUGUUGGAGAAGAAGCUGGGCUUCGAGUCUGCAUAUUCCUUUGACUUCUUAGAGUCCUGUGGAGGAUGCCUGAAGAGACAAACCAUGCAGGAAACAAAA